rnacentral:rRNA from 1 species
AGUGAACGCUGGCGGUAGGCCUAACACAUGCAAGUCGAACGGCAGCACAGUAAGAGCUUGCUCUUACGGGUGGCGAGUGGCGGACGGGUGAGGAAUACAUCGGAAUCUACUUUUUCGUGGGGUAUAACGUAGGGAAACUUACGCUAAUACCGCAUACUACCUACGGGUGAAAGCAGGGGAUCUUCGGACCUUGCGCGAUUGAAUGAGCCGAUGUCGGAUUAGCUAGUUGGCGGGGUAAAGGCCCACCAAGGCGACGAUCCGUAGCUGGUCUGAGAGGAUGAUCAGCCACACUGGAACUGAGACACGGUCCAGACUCCUACGGGAGGCAGCAGUGGGGAAUAUUGGACAAUGGGCGCAAGCCUGAUCCAGCCAUACCGCGUGGGUGAAGAAGGCCUUCGGGUUGUAAAGCCGUUUUGUUGGGAAAGAAAAGCAGCAGGUUAAUACCCCGCUGUUCUGACGGUACCCAAAGAAUAAGCACCGGCUAACUUCGUG